rnacentral:rRNA from 1 species
GAUGAACGCUGGCGGCGUGCCUAAUACAUGCAAGUCGAGCGAACAGACGAGGAGCUUGCUCCUCUGACGUUAGCGGCGGACGGGUGAGUAACACGUGGAUAACCUACCUAUAAGACUGGGAUAACUUCGGGAAACCGGAGCUAAUACCGGAUAAUAUAUUGAACCGCAUGGUUCAAUAGUGAAAGACGGUUUUGCUGUCACUUAUAGAUGGAUCCGCGCCGCAUUAGCUAGUUGGUAAGGUAACGGCUUACCAAGGCAACGAUGCGUAGCCGACCUGAGAGGGUGAUCGGCCACACUGGAACUGAGACACGGUCCAGAGUCCUACGGGAGGCAGCAGUAGGGAAUCUGCCGCAAUGGGCGAAAGCCUGACGGAGCAACGCCGCGUGAGUGAUGAAGGUCUUCGGAUCGUAAAACUCUGUUAUUAGGGAAGAACAAAUGUGUAAGUAACUAUGCACGUCUUGACGGUACCUAAUCAGAAAGCCACGGCUAACUACGUG